UCAGACGAUGCGUCAUGCAUAUCAAUAAGCGGAGGAAAAGAAACUAACAAGGAUUCCCCUAGUAACGGCGAGCUGAAGCGGGAAGAGCUCAAAUUUGAAAUCUUAAAGGGUUUCCCUUUACGAAUUGUAGUUUAAAGAAGUGUUUUCUGUUGAGGUUUUGGUAAAAGUUCUUUGGAAUAGGACAUCAUAGAGGGUGAGAAUCCCGUAUUUGACCUUUACUUUCAACUUUGUGAUACACUUUCAAAGAGUCGGAUUGUUUGGGAAUGCAGUCCAAAAUGGGUGGUAAAUUUCAUCUAAAGCUAAAUAUUGGCGAGAGACCGAUAGCGAACAAGUACCGUGAGGGAAAGAUGAAAAGAACUUUGAAAAGAGAGUUAAACAGUACGUGAAAUUGUCAAAAGGGAAGCGUUUGACACCAGUGCUGUUUUUCUGAAAAUCAAUUAAAGAACUGUUUAUGCUAAGCUGUUUAGACUUUAUCAGCUAUCUGUUUAGUUUUGAGCUUUUCUUUAAUGCACUUUUCAGUUAACAAGUCAACAUCAAUUUCUUUUGCUGUAAAAAAGCUUGAGGAAGGUGGCUUGAGAUUCGUCUUAAGUGUUUAUAGCCUCUUGCCUAUGCAGUCGGAGAGAUUGAGGUCUGCAGCGUAGAUCCUUCGGGGCUAAAUGCAUUUGUGCUAAGUUAUAGCAUUUUAUAGACAACUUGUUGACUAUGAUUUGUCUUGUAGCUUACUCGCUUAUGUUAUUUUACCUACGCUUAGGAUGUUGACACACGCGCGUGCUCG
rnacentral:rRNA from 1 species